UGGGGAAUAUUGGACAAUGGGCGAAAGCCUGAUCCAGCCAUGCCGCAUGUGUGAAGAAGGUCUUCGGAUUGUAAAGCACUUUAAGUUGGGAGGAAGGGCAGUAAGCGAAUACCUUGCUGUUUUGACGUUACCGACAGAAUAAGCACCGGCUAACUCUGUGCCAGCAGCCGCGGUAAUACAGAGGGUGCAAGCGUUAAUCGGAAUUACUGGGCGUAAAGCGCGCGUAGGUGGUUCGUUAAGUUGAAUGUGAAAGCCCCGGGCUCAACCUGGGAACUGCAUCCAAAACUGGCGAGCUAGAGUAGGGCAGAGGGUGGUGGAAUUUCCUGUGUAGCGGUGAAAUGCGUAGAUAUAGGAAGGAACACCAGUGGCGAAGGCGACCACCUGGGCUCAUACUGACACUGAGGUGCGAAAGCGUGGGGAGCAAACAGG
rnacentral:rRNA from 1 species